rnacentral:lncRNA from 1 species
GCAUUCAGCCAGGGAUCACUGAGCAUUCAAAAGUCCAUCUGAGACCUGCUUUCAUUGCACUGCCUCGUGAGGAGCUGUAGGAGAAGAUAUCAUAACUAUUCCCCACUUCUAAUUGUUAGAAGCAACAGCUGUCUAUCAAGAACAAUCUGAGGAUUGUGCACAAAUUGAUUUGGUUCUAUCAAGUGCUGGCUUUCGAUUCCAGUCUGACUUCACUACCACAGGAGCUUCUUGCUCAGGCUUCUGUUCCGGCUCCAUUCUCUCCCUGCCAUUAUAAUGCCAUCCACUGCAGCACCAUCUCUUCAAUCAAUAAAGAAGCUGAGGUUCAGAGAGGAUAAAUGAACUACCUGAUGUCGCCCAAGGAGGAGCACGUCAAGAUUUUCACUAGGUUGUCUUUCAUGCCAAAGUGUGUGCUUUGAACUCCAAGUUGCCAUGGUGUCAAAGGAGGGAACAUUUGGGCUUUCCUAUCAGCUUGCCCACAUGGGGCAGUGGGAGAAGAAGUGAUGGUACUUGAAAGCUGUCAACAGUCAAACAUCAAAAAUGGAGUCAAACUCUAUUACAAACUUGCAGACCAGAGAUGUCUCUUCAUCAGUGCUCAGCCCAGCUACCCUCUAGGUUGGUCUUUCUGAGGUGGCUGAAAUUCAUUAAUAAAGUGGUGCUGAACCUCUAUAGAAAA